CACCCCUCAAGCUCUGCUUGGUAUUGGGUGCCACCUCAGGGUGCACCUCAAAAUCAGUGGCGGUGCCGUCUGGCUUCAAGCGUAGUAAUACUUCUCGCUUCGGGGCCCAGGCGCGUGCUCGCCAUAACCACAAUUUUUAUCAA
rnacentral:misc_RNA from 1 species